GAUGAACGCUGGCGGCGUGCCUAAUACAUGCAAGUCGAGCGAACAGACGAGGAGCUUGCUCCUCUGACGUUAGCGGCGGACGGGUGAGUAACACGUGGAUAACCUACCUAUAAGACUGGGAUAACUUCGGGAAACCGGAGCUAAUACCGGAUAAUAUAUUGAAUCGCAUGGUUCAAUAGUGAAAGACGGUUUUGCUGUCACUUAUAGAUGGAUCCGCGCCGCAUUAGCUAGUUGGUAAGGUAACGGCUUACCAAGGCAACGAUGCGUAGCCGACCUGAGAGGGUGAUCGGCCACACUGGAACUGAGACACGGUCCAGACUCCUACGGGAGGCGGCAGUAGGGAAUCUUCCGCAAUGGGCGAAAGCUUGACGGAGCAACGCCGCGUGAGUGAUGAAGGUCUUCGGAUCGUAAAACUCUGUUAUUAGGGAAGAACAAAUGUGUAAGUAACUAUGCACGUCUUGACGGUACCUAAUCAGAAAGCCACGGCUAACUACGUG
rnacentral:rRNA from 1 species